rnacentral:rRNA from 1 species
CGGAGGCAGCAGUGGGGAAUCUUGCACAAUGGGGGAAACCCUGAUGCAGCGACGCCGCGUGAGCGAUGAAGCCCUUCGGGGUGUAAAGCUCUUUCGACAGGAACGAUAAUGACGGUACCUGAAGAAGAAGCUGCGGCUAACUACGUGCCAGCAGCCGCGGUAAUACGUAGGCAGCAAGCGUUGUUCGGAAUUACUGGGCGUAAAGAGUGUGUAGGCGGUGCUCUAAGAUUGGCGUGAAAUCUCCCGGCUUAACCGGGAGGGUGCAUCGAAGACUGGAGUGCUCGAGGGUGGGAGAGGCAAGCGGAAUUCCUGGUGUAGCGGUGAAAUGCGUAGAUAUCAGGAGGAACACCUGUGGUGUAGACAGCUUGCUGGACCAUUUCUGACGCUGAGACACGAAAGCGUGGGUAGCAAACAGGAUUAGAAACCCCUGUAGUCCU